rnacentral:rRNA from 1 species
GACGAACGCUGGCGGCGUGCUUAACACAUGCAAGUCGAACGGAAAGGCCCUGCUUUUGUGGGGUGCUCGAGUGGCGAACGGGUGAGUAACACGUGAGUAACCUGCCCUUGACUUUGGGAUAACUUCAGGAAACUGGGGCUAAUACCGGAUAGGAGCUCCUGCUGCUUGGUGGGGGUUGGAUGGUUUCGGCGGUUGGGGAUGGACUCGCGGCUUAUCAGCUUGUUGGUGGGGUAGUGGCUUAGCAAGGCCUUGACGGGCAGCAGGCCUGAGAGGGUGACCGGCCACAUUGGGACUGAGAUACGGCCCAGACUCCUACGGGAGGCAGCAGUGGGGAAUAUUGCACAAUGGGCGGAAGCCUGAUGUAGCAACGCCGCGUGCGGGAUGACGGCCUUCGGGUUGUAAACCGCUUUCGCCUGUGACGAAGCGUGAGUGACGGUAAUGGGUAAAGAAGCACCGGCUAACUACGUG